rnacentral:rRNA from 1 species
UGAGGAACAUGACCUUCGGCGGGGGAUAGCCGGCCCAACGGCCGGGUAAUACCGCGUACGACCACAUGGGGACAUCCCUGAGUGGUGAAAGCAGCAAUGCGCCGAUGGAGUGCCUCGCGGCCUAUCAGCUAGUUGGUGAGGUAACGGCUCACCAAGGCGACGACGGAUAGCUGGUCUGAGAGGAUGGCCAGCCACAUUGGGACUGAGACACGGCCCAGAUCCUACGGG